ACGCAAGUCUGUAUAGUGGCAAACGGGUGCGUAACGCGUAAGCAACCUGCCCCACACUGGGGGAUAGCCCGGCGAAAGCUGGGGUAAACCCGCACGGUCCCCUGGAGUCUCCUGGCUUUUGGGGUAAACCUAUGGGGGUGUGGGAGGGGCUUGCGUCUGAUUAGGUAGUUGGGGGGUAACGGCCCACCAAGCCGAUGAUCAGUAGGGGUUCUGAGAGGAUUGGCCCCCACAUGGGUACUGAGAUACGGACCCA
rnacentral:rRNA from 1 species